UUGGUGAUAUACCUCUGAUGCCUAAAGUCUGAGUCAACGCCCUAACCCAAAAUUUUUACUCUCCCUCGCAAACUCUCUCUGAAACUUCAGCUCCCUCUCAAACUCUAGCCCCAAUUCUUCUAACUCCCUCUCAAUUUUUUCACUCCCUCUGAACCUGUACCCUAAAAAUUCAUCUCCUGAACAAAACUCUCCUUCAGUCCCUCUGAAACUCUCUCUUUCUUCUCUCUCCUCCAUCACUGCGCCAUUCCUGCUAAAACCCUCAGAUGCUCAACCAUUACGAUUCACAAUGAGAAUCAUUCUUCCAUUCGAUGAUUCUGAAGCCAGCUCACACAAUUUCUCAAGCUCAGACGCUCAGACGGAAGUUUAAGUCGACGAUUGUGUGAUUUCAUCUCUCAAUGAAGCAUUUCCCUUUCCCCCAAAAGUUAGGGUUUUGAUCACACCCCACACCUCCUCUUAUGAUCUAGAUCUGAUGCUACGCAGCCACCAUCUUCCUAGAACUCUGCUUUACUCUCAACGACUCUGCAAAGAAGUAUCCAAAUAAUCCAAUACUUGGUAUUGAUCUCCAUCACUUAGAGCACCAGCAUCCCUCCACCUCUAGGUUGCUCACCCUCAUUUAGGAAAAAUGUGGUUCUAGCACAUACAAUAGUAUCCGUUGUCGUGGCUGCAGUAAUUGAUCUGCAAUUGUAUUUCAGACAGUUGGUAGGAAAGCGUUGAGAUGGGUAUUAGUGAGCCUUGGAUUACUAAAGCAUUGAAGAUGGAAUUUCAUCUCAUUGGAUCGUCCCCAAGAGUAGCCUCAAGAGUAACAUAUAAUUACUAGAUAGCUUAGUUCAUUUCAUUAUGUUUUGUUUGCAUUGUAAAUGUGUUUUUAAAGUAUAACAUUUAUUGUAUAUUAAAUUAGUCUAUCUAACUAUAUUAUAAUGGAUGUAGUGCAGGGUCAUUGAGGUUUUUGGGAAUACGGUCUUCAUCGAUGCUAGCUUAGUUUCUAAUAUGUUUAGUUUGUUAUGUGUUGACAAGUGGUUUUGCUAUUUUAUAAGUAUAAUUUGUCAGUUUAGGUUUUGAAUUGUUCUUUUAUCUAAGAUAGAUCAUUUAUUAGUUUGGGUAGUUUGUUGGAAGUUGCAAUGAAACUUAACUGUUGAAAUUUCAGAAAUGAGCUUCCUUUCUGUAGCGUUUUAAAAGUUCUCCUCUUCUUUCCCCCAUUAUUUACCAGAGUGAAGAGGGUAAAAAUUUUGUUUAAGGUUUAUGUCGUGGAUCUUUUCCGACCUGUUUUUGUGUGUAAUUUUGGCACUCUGUUUUCUAUUAUUAUUUAUAUUAAAGCCCUAUCACUGACAAAAUAUUAUUUGAAAAUGAAUGUUUAGAUGUUGGUAUUUCAAUAUUGAGAAGAUUUUUGUAUCCAAAGGCACAUUUGACAAAGAAAGAAGCCCACUGAAAGGAAGGCUUUGAAACUUGCAAAAAGAGUGAUUGCUUGUCUUGAUGUGAGGACGAAUGACAAAGGAGAUCUUGUUGUAACCAAAGGCGACCAAUAUGAUGUAAGAGAGCAUACAAAAGAGAAUGAGAGCUAGAAGGAAAGACACGUACACCCAAAUGGAAUUGGAUGAGGUGCGAGAAGAAUUAGCAAGUCAUGUCCUAGAAUGGCUUUUUGAUUAAGCUAAACAUUCCUUCAUUUUACAUUGCUUUCUAGCUAGUAUUUUGCUUAUGCAUAGACAAGUAUGGAUAAUUUGUGGUGUAGGGCUGGUAAAUUUGUGAUUUGGAUGUGACAA